rnacentral:rRNA from 1 species
GACGAACGCUGGCGGCGCGCUUAACACAUGCAAGUCGAACGGAAAGGCCUGCUUUCCCUUGUGGAUUGCGGGUACUCGAGUGGCGAACGGGUGAGUAACACGUGAGUGAUCUGCCCCCAACUUGGGUAUAAGCCUGGGAAACUGGGUCUAAUUCCCGAUAGGACUGCAGGGUGGUGCCUGUGGUGGAAAACGAUUUUCUAGUGGUUGGGGAUGAGCUCGCGGCCUAUCAGCUUGUUGGUGGGGUAAUGGCCUACCAAGGCGGCGACGGGUAGCCGGCCUGAGAGGGUGGACGGCCACAUUGGGACUGAGAUACGGCCCAGACUCCUACGGGAGGCAGCAGUGGGGAAUAUUGCACAAUGGGCGGAAGCCUGAUGCAGCGACGCCGCGUGGGGGAUGACGGCCUUCGGGUUGUAAACUCCUUUCGACCGCGAGGAAGCCACCUGGUUGGAAGGGUGGUGACGGUAGUGGUAGAAGAAGCACCGGCUAACUCCGUG